AGCGAACGCUGGCGGCAGGCCUAACACAUGCAAGUCGAGCGCCGUAGCAAUACGGAGCGGCAGACGGGAUAGUAACACGUGGGAACGUGCCCUUUGGUUCGGAAUAACUCAGGGAAACUUGAGCUAAUACCGGAUAAGCCCUUACGGGGAAAGAUUUAUUGCCAUUGGAGCGGCCCGCGUCGGAUUAGCUAGUUGGUGAGGUAAUGGCUCACCAAGGCGACGAUCCGUAGCUGGUCUGAGAGGAUGACCAGCAUCACUGGGACUGAGACACGGCCCAGACUCCUACGGGAGGCAGCAGUGGGGAAUAUUGGACAAUGGGCGCAAGCCUGAUCCAGCCAUGCCGCGUAGAUGAUGAAGGCCCUAGGGUUGUAAAGUCCUUUUAACGGGGAAGAUAAUGACGGUACCCGUAGAAUAAGCCCCGGCUAACUUCGUGCCAGCAGCCGCGGUAACAC
rnacentral:rRNA from 1 species